rnacentral:rRNA from 1 species
GCUAGUUGGUGGGGUAAUGGCCUACCAAGGCGACGAUCAGUAGCGGGUCUGAGAGGAUGAUCCGCCACACUGGAACUGAGACACGGUCCAGACUCCUACGGGAGGCAGCAGUGGGGAAUUUUGGGCAAUGGGGGCAACCCUGAUCCAGCCAUUCCGCGUGAGUGAAGAAGGCCUUCGGGUUGUAAAGCUCUUUCAGCUGGAACGAAACGGUGCGCUCUAACAUAGCGUGCUAAUGACGGUACCAGCAGAAGAAGCACCGGCUAACUACGUGCCAGCAGCCGCGGUAAUACGUAGGGUGCGAGCGUUAAUCGGAAUUACUGGGCGUAAAGCGUGCGCAGGCGGAUUGUUAAGCAAGAUGUGAAAUCCCCGGGCUUAACCUGGGAAUGGCAUUUUGAACUGGCAGUCUAGAGUGCGUCAGAGGGGGGUGGAAUUCCACGUGUAGCAGUGAAAUGCGUAGAGAUGUGGAGGAACACCAAUGGCGAAGGCAGCCCCCUGGGAUGACACUGACGCUCAUGUACGAAAGCGUGGGUAGCAAACAGGAUUAGAUACCCUGGUAGUCCACGCCCUAAACGAUGUCAACUGGUUGUUGGGGGAGUGAAAUCCCUUAGUAACGAAGCUAACGCGUGAAGUUGACCGCCUGGGGAGUACGGUCGCAAGAUUAAAACUCAAAGGAAUUGACGGGGACCCGCACAAGCGGUGGAUGAUGUGGAUUAAUUCGAUGCAACGCGAAAAACCUUACCUACCCUUGACAUGUCCAGAACCCUGCAGAGAUGCGGGGGUGCCCGAAAGGGAAUUGGAACACAGGUGCUGCAUGGCUGUCGUCAGCUCGUGUCGUGAGAUGUUGGGUUAAGUCCCGCAACGAGCGCAACCCUCAUCCUUAGUUGCCAGCACAUCAGGUGGGAACUCUAAGGAAACUGCCGGCGUUAAGCCGGAGGAAGGUGGGGAUGACGUCAAGUCAUCAUGGCCCUUACGGCCUGGGCUACACACGUGCUACAAUGGCGAUUACAGUGGGCAGCUAGCUCGCAAGAGCAUGCUAAUCUCAAAAAAUCGUCUCAGUUCGGAUUGUCCUCUGCAACUCGAGGGCAUGAAGUCGGAAUCGCUAGUAAUCGCGCAUCAGCAUGGCGCGGUGAAUACGUUCCCGGGUCU